rnacentral:rRNA from 1 species
CAGCUUACUGGACCAUUACUGACGCUGAUGCACGAAAGCGUGGGGAGCGAACAGGAUUAGAUACCCUGGUAGUCCACGCCGUAAACGAUGAUCACUCGCUGUUAGCGAUACACAGUUAGCGGCUAAGCAAAAGCAUUAAGUGAUCCACCUGGGGAGUACGGCCGCAAGGCUGAAACUCAAAGGAAUUGACGGGGGCCCGCACAAGCGGAGGAACAUGUGGUUUAAUUCGAUGAUACGCGAGGAACCUUACCUGGGCUUAAAUGUAGAGUGCAUUGAGAGGAAACUUUCAUUUUCUUCGGAACUCUUUACAAGGUGCUGCAUGGUUGUCGUCAGCUCGUGCCGUGAGGUGUCGGGUUAAGUCCCAUAACGAGCGCAACCCUUAUCGUUAGUUGCCAGCGGGUAAUGCCGGGAACUCUAGCGAAACUGCCGGUGUAAACCGAGAGGAAGGUGGGGAUGACGUCAAAUCAGCACGGCCCUUAUGUCCAGGGCUACACACGUGUUACAAUGGCCGGUACAGAGGGCAGCUACCUGUUGACAGGAUGCGAAUCUCCAAAGCCGGUCUCAGUUCGGAUCGGAGUCUGCAACUCGACUCCGUGAAGCUGGAUUCGCUAGUAAUCGCGCAUCAGCCAUGGCGCGGUGAAUACGUUCCCGGGCCUUGUACACACCGCCCGUCAAGCCAUGGAAGUUGGGGGUACCUGAAGUCCGUAACCGUAAGGAGCGGCCUAGGGUAAAACUAGUGACUGGGGCUAAGUCGUAACAAGGUAACCGUA